AUUGAACGCUGGCGGCAGGCCUAACACAUGCAAGUCGAGCGAGAGGCGGGCGGGUGAGUAAUGUAUGGGGACUGCCCGAUAGAGGGGGAUAACAACUGGAAACGGUGGCUAAAACGGCAUACUAUCGGAUAACCCAGAUGGGAUUAGCUAGUAGGUGAGGUAUUGGCGCACCUAGGCGACGAUCCCUAGCUGGUCUGAGAGGAUGAUCAGCAAAACUGGGACUGAGACACGGCCCAGACGCCUACGGAGGCAGCAGUGGGGAAUAUUGCACAAGGGGCGCAAGCCUGAUGCAGCCAUGCCGCGGGUAUGAAGAAGGCCCUAGGGUUGUAAAGUACUUUCAGUCGGGAGGCGUUACCGACAGAAGAAGCACCGGCUAACUCCGUGCCAGCAGCCGCGGUAAUUC
rnacentral:rRNA from 1 species